rnacentral:rRNA from 1 species
ACGACCCGUUACACCCCCCGUUCGCCAGKGAACAACGAGCCCCAGCUUAAAACCCAAAGGACUUGGCGGUGCUUUAGACCCCCCUAGAGGAGCCUGUUCUAGAACCGAUUCCCCCCGUUCAACCUCACCCUCUCUUGUUUUCCCCGCCUAUAUACCGCCGUCGUCAGCUUACCCCUUGCCGGCCAAACAGUAAGCAAAAUUGGCAAAGCCCAAAACGUCAGGUCGAGGUGUAGCGUACGAGAGGGGAAGAAAUGGGCUACAUUUACUGAACCAGUAAACACGAAUGUUGCACUGAAACGAGCAUCUGAAGGAGGAUUUAGCAGUAAGGGGGCAGCAGAGCGUCCCCCUGAAAACGGCCCUGAAGCGAGCACACACCG